rnacentral:rRNA from 1 species
UACGAAGGGGGCUAGCGUUGCUCGGAAUCACUGGGCGUAAAGGGUGCGUAGGCGGGUUCUUAAGUCAGAGGUGAAAUCCUGGAGCUCAACUCCAGAACUGCCUUUGAUACUGAGAGUCUUGAGUUCGGGAGAGGUGAGUGGAACUGCGAGUGUAGAGGUGAAAUUCGUAGAUAUUCGCAAGAACACCAGUGGCGAAGGCGGCUCACUGGCCCGAUACUGACGCUGAUGCACGAAAAGCGUGGGGGAGCAAACAGG